rnacentral:lncRNA from 1 species
UAAAAUAUUUUACUAGAUUGUAUUUAUGGUUAACAGUAUCUUGCACUACAAUUUAUAUUUAGAUAAUCAUUCAUUUUAAAAUUAUUUAUUGAGCACCUACUAUGUGUUAGGUAUUAGGUACAGAGCAAUGAAUACAGCAAGCACAGUUCCUCACCUCGUGGACCUGACACUGUAGUGUGAGAGAUAAUAAGCAAAUGAUAUAAGGCCAUGCAGUAGUUAAAUGCUAUGAAGAAACAUAAAAUCUGGUACAGGGACAGAGAGUAGGGAGGGAGCUCUUGUUAUAAAGGGUGGCCAGGAAAGACCAAGUUGUGUAGCAGAGGCCUGAAGGAAGCCAGGGACCAAGCCAUAUGAAUUUUCUCAGAUAGGUGUAUUCUAGUUAUAGAGAACAGCAACUGGAACGGUCCUGAGAAGGGAACAUUCCUGGAACAUUCAAGAACUAGCCAAGAGAUCAGCAAGUCUAUAGUAAAAAGAAACAUAGUAGAUAGUCAUCUAGUGUUUUCUUCUCUUCCUUCCUAUUAUCUCUCAUACCAUGUCAUGUUACUUUUCUAAAGGAUCUCAAUGGGGAAGAGAACAUCAUUGUCUUUAAGAUUCAAUUUUUUGUGUAUUGAAAGUCUUCAUGGUCAUUCUUUUGAGAUCAUGACCUACUACAACGUCCCCAGGCCUGCAUCCUCCACAGGCUCCAUGAGCAGAAAAGCAGACGAAUAGAAGAGCAGAGGAACAGAAGAAUAGCAGUGUGGCCGAGCAGCGUGGUAGAGAAAGAGGGAAGAGAAGCAGCAUCUGAAUGUUGAGAGGAGUUUGGCUGGGGACAGUCGGAGAGGAGAUUGGCCGCAGGACGACCCAACUCCAGGGGAGGAACAUCUUCCUACUCCAUUCGCUUCCCCACUCCCCAGCCAUUCCACUGAGAGCCACCUCCAUCUGGCAAUAAAAUCUCUUGCAUUCACUAUCCUUCAAUUUGCCUGUGUGACCUGAUUCUUCCUGGAUGCUGGACAAGAACCCAGCAUCCAGGUACCAAGAGGGCACUGGGCUGGAUAACACUUGAGCUGUCUGUGGACGGCAGAGCUAAAAGAGCACUGUAACAUGCCCACUGGGGCUUUGGGAGUUGCAGGCACCCACCCUGGAUGCUACUACCAUGGGGCUGGAGCCCAAAAGUGUUUGCCCCGCCUCCUGCACCUGCCCGUCUGCAUGCUCCCCCUCCAGUAAGGGGUUUGAGUGCACAGAGGCUGAACAGAUGAGCCACACCCCUGUCACACAUCCUGUGAAGGGGGUUAGGAAACUCUCCCAUUUCAUCUUGACCAUCUUUGAGGGACUAUUGAUGCUUUUGGUAUCAGCAGCCACAGAAUUCAUCAGACACAGCACAAAAGAGCAGGAGAAGAGAUAAUGGCAGAUGCCAGAAGGUUGUCCAGCUGGUUACUACCUCUCCUCUUCACCUGAUUAUACCUGAUUACUGCUGACUCGAUGGGCAGGGAGAGUCGCUGACUCCUGACAGAAAGACUCUGUCACCCCUUGCCAUUUAUUUUAGAUCCUGUGAAUCCUACUGUCAAUGUUGUGACACCUGCAAUGCCUGGGAUGAAGCUGCCCAUGUGGUGAGAUGCAGCCUGUGGAAGCCUCUUUUCAGUGGAGUGAGAGCCAAGCCCCCUUGGCUUUUCAUAGACAAUUGGUGAACGGGACAAGGAGACACUGUCCUUGGAUGUCUGAAAAAAAAAGAAAAAGAGCUGGGGAGGACUCCUGACCAGCGUGACACCUAACAUUGGAGUGAAGGGGCAGCAGAUGUGACUUGUUCCUCCUUGCCUUCCACCGUGAUUGUGAGACCUCUCCAGCCACGUGAAACGGAAUGGGAAAUACUCUUCUCCUACCACCAACUUGGCCACUCUCCAGUGACGAGGUUUCAGAAGCAGUGCAUUUUCAAGUUUCUGCCUCAGAAGAGAUCCAGUUUGGCAUUCUGUCUAAGUUCACUGCACAGAGACGGGUUUGGCUCUGUGAUUCAUCAGAAAUAAGAAAAACAAACACUGUAAAUGGAGAACUUGAAAAAGAGGUGGGCACCAUCUCCCCACCCAAGAGAAUGGAUUUAAGAGGAAAUUUGUUUAUGGGAUGAAGUUUUAAAAGGCGACCUGGAAAAUUUAGCAAAGAUGUAAAUAAACAACUCUUCCUUGGAUUGCAUUAGGCUUCAGAAUAAAUAUAUUAACCAGCUUCAGUCAAAGUCUGCCUAGAAUCUGACCCUGACAAGACCCAGUGACUAGUGCUGCUCCGAACCUUCCCCACCAACAGCAGGCAAUUUUCUCUGUGGCAAAGCUACCUCGAAACAGGCAUCCAGGCUUCCCUCCCACGAAGUGAAGAUGAGAAAACUGAGUCUCAGAAUGGACAAGCUCACAGAUGGCAAGUGGUAGAGCAGACUUCACACAUAGCCAUCUGAGUGAGAUGGGAAGCUGAUCCUCCAGCCCUGAUCAAGCCUUCAAAUGACUGCACCUCCAGCUGACAGAUUACCAAAAGCAACCUCCUUCCAGAAGACCUUGAGCCAAAACCACUCAGCUAAGCUACUUCCAGAUCCCUGAUCCUCGGAAACUGUGCGAGACAAUAAAUGUUUAAAUGGCCACCCACUUUGGAAUAAAGAGGACAUAUAAUUUGCCUAAGGUCACAUAGCACUCUCUAAAUCAGUACAGUAUUUUAGACAAAGCUUCAACUUUGCACUUUUAUGGGUCAUUUUGAUAUAAGACUACAAGGAUAUCUCCUCCCAUGACAAACUUGACUUCAUUUACAACAAAAGGCCAAGCAAGAUACAGUACACUGUGGGGAUAAAUGGUACUCACUGAGGACAGGAAUAUGCUGACAUUAUCUCAAUUUCCUCCUCCCUCCUGUUGUUCUCCUUUGGAUGCUUUCCUGGACUAUAGGGAGAAGGAAAAUAGAGAAAGGCCAACUGCGACUAGGCCAGAGAUCAGAUGUUACCUUGUAGGAAGCAUCUCAUUCUAACCUUAAGUACUCUCUUGAUGAAGUACGGGGCCAAGAGAUUUUGGAAUUCUACCACACAAGGUUGCUCAGCAUUCCAAGAAGUAUUGAUAACUCUUCAAGAGCAAAAGUCAUUUAAAUUAAACUUCUCUGGCCGGGCAUGGUAGCUCAUAUCUGUAAACCCAGCACUUUGGGAGGCUGAGGCUGGAAGAUCACU